rnacentral:lncRNA from 1 species
GUUUAAGUGAUCUAUAAGGUGAUAAGAUGAAUAGUUUAAACUUAGCUCAAAAUUUCUCACUCUAAUCAUAAAGCAUAAUAUUAAUCAAAUUAAGAAUAGAGAGAGUGAGUUUGUCUAUUUGACAAAAAAAGUAAACACAGCUUCAAGUGGUGAAGCUUGGUGUUAGAAUAUUACCCAUCUUGAAUCCUUUUUGAAGAUAGAGAGAUCUAAAACACAAGACUCAAGAUAAAAGAUUAGUCCAAUAAUCGUGAUUAUUUGUUAUCAUCAAAAUCUAAUAGACGAUUAGGGCCACUAGGCCAACAAGAUAUACACCACUUAGUUUUGGAUGUACAGUUAUAUUUUUCAAAUUAAUUAUCAAGCACUUCUUACUUUAGUACCCUAUGAUUUAAAAUGUAUCAAUUUAGUAUUAUGUGAUUUCACUUUUUUCAUUUCGUUAGCUCCUUCGUUAAUAUUUUGUUAAAUUGUAUAUAAAAAGCUUUAGAUACUCCACUUAGGUUUAUUGAAUAUUCACUUUAGGAAUUUUUAAUUUUAAUUUUGUCACUAAUUUAUUGAAAAAAAAUUAGUGAAAGGAAUAAUAAAAAAAAAAAAAUUACGGAGUACUAAAUUAAUAUAUUUUAAAUUAUAUGAUAUUAAAAUAAAAAGUACGAAAUCAUAUGGGUAGUAUUUGAAGUUUUUUUUAAAUAAUUUCAGAACUGCAUAAUAAAUUGUUGAUU